rnacentral:tRNA from 1 species
GCCGGAGUGGCGGAAUGGCAGACGCAGGUGACUCAAAAUCAUCCGGUCGCGAGACCGUGAGGGUUCGACUCCCUCCUCCGGCACCA